rnacentral:lncRNA from 1 species
GAGUGGUUUGCAAAUGAAUAUAGAAACUUUGGCUGUUCGCUCGAGUUUGUGACAAAUCGGUCCCAGGAAGGAUCACAGUUCUGCCGAGGAUUUGGUGGCAUUGGUGGAAUUCUUCGUUACCAGCUUGACAUUCGAUCCUUUGAUGAGCCAUCUGAUGAAGGAGAAUUUUAUGAGUCAGACUAAGAUGAGCCCAUACUCCCUGCUUCUAUCAAAUGGAAUGAUUUCAAAAAAACCCUGACUGCUUGUAAGUCAUUGUGGCUCAGUGCCUUCUUUUUGUGUUUGUACUUGUUAUUUUCCCUUGUUGGCUUCCAAUUACCUGUUUUGGAUUUCAAUCUUUGCCUUAAUCUUCAUCCGUCAGAAAAGUAAGUGUCGAAUCUUGCUAGUACUAUGAGCCUGAUUGUGUCCGACAUUGCAGCUACCUUUUGGUUUAAAUCAGGAACACUUAUUAUACAUGAGGUCAUUACUCUCUACGCCAAUUUCUUAUUGCAUGUUGCUACCGG